GAUCCAUUGGAGGGCAAGUCUGGUGCCAGCAGCCGCGGUAAUUCCAGCUCCAAUAGCGUAUAUUUAAGUUGUUGCAGUUAAAAAGCUCGUAGUUGGACCUUGGGCGGGCCGGUCCGCCUCACGGCAGGCACCGACCUGCUCGACC
rnacentral:rRNA from 1 species